rnacentral:rRNA from 1 species
GAAAUCAGUUCAGCACUAAGUCACUUUGUCUAUAUGGCAAAUGUGAGAUGCAGUGUAUGGAAUAUCAAUAUUCUAGUAUGAGAAAUUAACGAUUUAAGUCCUUCUUAAAUGAGGCCAUUUACCCAUAGAGGGUGCCAGGCCCGUAUAACGUUAAUGAUUAUUAGAUGAUGUUUCCAAAGAGUCGUGUUGCUUGAUAGUGCAGCACUAAGUGGGUGGUAAACUCCAUCUAAAACUAAAUAUAACCAUGAGACCGAUAGUAAACAAGUACCGUGAGGGAAAGUUGAAAAGAACUCUGAAUAGAGAGUUAAAUAGUACGUGAAACUGCUUAGAGGUUAAGCCCGAUGAACCUGAAUAUCCGUUAUGGAAAAUUCAUCAUUAGAAUUGUAAUAUUUAAUCAAUAUUAUAAUAAUAGUGUGCAUUUUUUCCAUAUAAGGACAUUGUAAUCUAUUAGUUAAAAUUAAUUUAUCAAAAAAUUGUAGAUAAGUGCUUAUUUAAAUUAAAAUGCUUGCGUUUUAACAUAAAAUAAAUUUCAUAAAUUUGAUAAAGUGCUGAUAGAUUUAUAUGAGUACAGUGCGUUAAUUUUUCGGAAUUAUAUAAUGGCAUAAUUAUCAUUGAUUUUUGUGUUUAUUAUAUGCACUUGUAUGAUUAACAAUGCGAAAGA